UAGUCCACGCUGUAAACGAUGUCGAUUUGGAGUUUGUUGCCUAGAGUGAUGGGCUCCGAAGCUAACGCGAUAAAUCGACCGCCUGGGGAGUACGGCCGCAAGGUUAAAACUCAAAUGAAUUGACGGGGGCCCGCACAAGCGGUGGAGCAUGUGGUUUAAUUCGAUGCAACGCGAAGAACCUUACCUGGUCUUGACAUCCAUAGAAUUCUGCAGAGAUGUGGGAGUGCCUUCGGGAACUAUGAGACAGGUGCUGCAUGGCUGUCGUCAGCUCGUGUUGUGAAAUGUUGGGUUAAGUCCCGCAACGAGCGCAACCCUUAUUCUUUGUUGCCAGCGAUUUGGUCGGGAACUCAAAGGAGACUGCCGUUGAUAAAGCGGAGGAAGGUGGGGACGACGUCAAGUCAUCAUGGCCCUUACGACCAGGGCUACACACGUGCUACAAUGGCGUAUACAAAGGGAAGCGAAGGUGCGAGCUGGAGCGGAUCUCAUAAAGUACGUCUAAGUUCGGAUUGGAGUCUGCAACUCGACUCCAUGAAGUCGGAAUCGCUAGUAAUCGUAGACCAGAAUGCUACGGUGAAUACGUUCCCGGGCCUUGUACACACCGCCCGUCACACCAUGGGAGUGGGUUGCACCAGAAGUAGAUAGCUUAACCGCGAGGGGGGCGUUUACCACGGUGUGAUUCAUGACUGGGGUGAAGUCGUAACAAGGUAACCA
rnacentral:rRNA from 1 species